rnacentral:miRNA from 1 species
CAACUAGACUGGGAGCUUCUAGA